rnacentral:rRNA from 1 species
AGUGAACGCUGGCGGCAGGCCUAAUACAUGCAAGUCGAGCGACAGCACGAUAAGAGUUCGCCUCUACGGGUGGCGAGUGACGGGCGGGUAAGACAUAGAUAGCAUACCUCUAUUACGGGGGGGACAUCGGGGAGCAAGUUACACUACUAGCGAAUAUGUUGUACGGGAUAAAGCAAGGGAGCAUGGCACCUUUCGCGUCAGAAAUAGACGGUGCCGUGUCGCAUUAGCUAGUUGGUAAGGUAACGGCUCACCAAGGCGACGAUGCGUAGCCGAUCUGAGAGGAUGAUCAGCCACACUGGAACUGAGACACGGUCCAGACUCCUACGGGAGGCAGCAGUGGGGAAUCUUCGACAAUGGGCGCAAGCCUGAUCCAGCCACGCCGCGUGAGUGAAGAAGGCCUUCGGGUUGUAAAGCCCUUUUGUUAGGGAAGAAAAGCAGCAUGUGUAUCCCCGGCUGUUCUGACGGUACCCAAAGAAUAAGCCCCGGCUAACUACGUG